rnacentral:rRNA from 1 species
GAGUUUGAUCGUGGCUCAGAGUGAACGCUGGCGGCAGGCCUAACACAUGCAAGUCGAACGGCAGCGCAGCAGUAGCAAUACUGUGGGCGGCGAGUGGCGGACGGGUGAGGAAUACAUCGGAAUCUACCUUGUCGUGGGGGAUAACGUAGGGAAACUUACGCUAAUACCGCAUACGAACUACGGUUGAAAGCGGCGGACCGCAAGGCGUCGCGCGAUUGGAUGAGCCGAUGUCCGAUUAGCUAGUUGGCGGGGUAAAGGCCCACCAAGGCGACGAUCGGUAGCUGGUCUGAGAGGAUGAUCAGCCACACUGGAACUGAGACACGGUCCAGACUCCUACGGGAGGCAGCAGUGGGGAAUAUUGGACAAUGGGCGCAAGCCUGAUCCAGCCAUGCCGCGUGUGUGAAGAAGGCCUUCGGUUGUUAAGU